UCUCCAGCAUAGACUCAGUGAAAUUGAAUUCCCCGUGAAGAUGCGGGGUUCCUGCGGUUAGACGGAAAGACCCCGUGCACCUUUACUAUAGCUUUACAUUGGCAUUCGUAGCGGCAUGUGUAGGAUAGGUGGUAGGCUUUGAAGCCGGGGCGCCAGCCUUGGUGGAGCCACCCUUGAAAUACCACCCUUAUCUCUAUGGAUGUCUAACCGCGGCCCGUUAUCCGGGUCCGGGACAAUGUAUGGUGGGUAGUUUGACUGGGGCGGUCGCCUCCUAAAGAGUAACGGAGGCGCGCGAUGGUGGGCUCAGAACGGUCGGAAAUCGUUCG
rnacentral:rRNA from 1 species